rnacentral:rRNA from 1 species
UACGGAGGGAGCUAGCGUUGUUCGGAAUUACUGGGCGUAAAGCGCGUGUAGGCGGCUUUGCAAGUCGGGUGUGAAAGCCCUCGGCUCAACCGAGGAAGUGCGCCCGAAACUGCAGAGCUUGAGUGCCGGAGAGGAUGGCGGAAUUCCCCAAGUAGAGGUGAAAUUCGUAGAUAUCGGGAGGAACACCAGAGGCGAAGGCGGCCACCUGGACAGAGAUUGACGCUGAGACGCGAAAGCGUGGGGAGCAAACAGG